GCAGUCAUUUAUUAUUUCUCCUACGUCAGCAGGUCGCCUGGAGGUUGGCUCUAAGCUUGGCUCAGCUGGGAUGGUUCUGCUCCACAUGUCUUUCAUCUGCCUUUGGCCAGUGGAUAACCAAGGCUUAUUCUCGCAGCAGUGGCUGAGAGCAUGCCCCAGUUCACUGAAGUCCCCAGAAUGAGGCAUUCAGUACAGACCGGAACCACCUGGCCACUUGAAGCCAAACCCACCUGAGCCCAAAAGAGAUCAGCCAAUCUGCAGAUUUGCAUGAGGGAGCCCAAAGGGAUGGGUGACAUCGUAACUUCCAAUUCAGUGGAAUCAUUGUUGAGUCUCCUGGUGGAAGCAUUCUUCGCUUUGAAACUAAGACCUCUAGGCCAGCAGAGCAUAAGGCCGUGGGAAGAGGAAGCAAAUUUUGCUAGUGGGUCACUAGAGGGGGAACCAGAUGCAACAACUUAUUCUUCACCUGAGAAGGAAUAUCUUGACAUGCCCUAUACCAAUGGACUCCUAGAAAUUUCAUUGAGGUCCAAUCAACAUAAUGUCAUCAAUGUAACAGACCAAUGUGAUAUCUUGUGGAAGGGAAAGGCAAUCAAGAUCCCUUCGAACUGAAUUAUGACAUAGAGCUGGAGAGUUGAUUUACCCCUUGGGUAGGACAGUGAAGGUAUAUUGCUGGCCUUGCCAGCUGAAAGCAAACUUCCUCUGGUGGUCCUUAUUGAUUUGCAUGGAGAAACAAGUGUGCAUACCAGGUAAAAGGGGAUGUGUUAAUUUGCUCAAACAAUGAAAUCACACCUGGUACAACAGCUGUACUUGGAGUCACCACCUGGCUGAACUUAUGAUAAUCCACUGUCAUUUUCCAAGAUCCAUCCUUCUUCUACAUAGACAAAAUAGCUUCCUGACUCAAUCAUCUUCCUCUGCAUUGAGCCAAUGGCUAAGAUGAUGAUGAUGAGAAGAAAGAGAAGGAGGAGGAGGAGUUAACCUGAGCGAUAGCAUGUGUCAAGUAGGCAUUUUCCUGAGGGUUGUCUGUCAGAAGACUGAUCUUGUGGGUGGUCUGCCAUACUGAAUUUUGGAUCUAAGAUCUCAGCUCCAAGGCCUUCAUCCUCCAUAAUGCCAGCAGACGGUACAGUCCAUCAACGCCUAAUUACUUCCUGGUAGUUUGAACCCACAAUCUUUUUUGGUUUGGUACCAGAAUCAACUUCAGAAGACAUUGAAGAAAGAAUGUCUGGAAUUGGGAACCUAAAUAUGUGGACUUUGCUUUGGGAGGUGAUUGAUCAGAAGAACAUUUGUUAUCCACAGUGUGCUUACAGAGGACAACUUUGAGAAGGAGAGGCUUUUUGACCUCAUGGCCACCAUUGUGGCCCACUGAAGCUUCUGCCCUGAUUGCUUUUUACUUUACUGUUUUUAACAAGAAUUUGAGGUGGAAACCUAUUAAUUAAAAAGGUAUAGUCCUUUUAACUAUCAAUUGGCUGUACUCUAACCACGGUGUUCCCAAGCGCAGUUGAAGCUGAAGAUUCUGCCGAGCUGAAUCCAUCUUAAACUAACUCAGGGGAAAACCUGAAAUAAUGGGAGGGAAUGUUUCCGCAAAUGGCCUUUUAAAACAAAGAAAAUAUUUUUUAAAAUAAUGGUGAAAUACAAGAGCACCCCUAGUUUUUGCCUCUCUCCAAAAAAUUUAUAGUCCUGUAGAACAGGUUGUAAAAAUGGCUAGUUGAAAUUAAGGACUAUAAAUGGGCUUAAAUUAUUUUAUCUUCCUCUUAAGAGGAAAUCAAUCUUAACAAAUUUAACGUUCUAAUUAUCAUCACAACUCCCACAAAAACAAAAGCUAUGUAAAUCCAGGUAGUAGGCAAAAGCAGAGAAGUAGUGGUAUGUAGAUGACAACUUUCUCCUUCC